GGCGGAAUGGCCGAGCGGUCUAAGGCGCUAGAAUCAGGUUGACUGGUGUAAAUCUAGUCCGAAAGGGCGUGGGUUCGAAUCCCACUUCCGUCA